rnacentral:rRNA from 1 species
GGAAGGAUCAUUAUUGAAAUAAACCUGAUGGGUUGUUGCUGGUUCUCUAGGGAGCAUGUGCACGCCUUGUCAUCUUUAUAUCUCCACCUGUGCACCUUUUGUAGACCUUCUAGGUCUAUGUUGCUUUUUCAUUUACCCCAAUGUAUGUUAAUAGAAUGUUGUGACUAUAAAAACUAUACAACUUUCAGCAACGGAUCUCUUGGCUCUCGCAUCGAUGAAGAACGCAGCGAAAUGCGAUAAGUAAUGUGAAUUGCAGAAUUCAGUGAAUCAUCGAAUCUUUGAACGCACCUUGCGCUCCUUGGUAUUCCGAGGAGCAUGCCUGUUUGAGUGUCAUUAAUAUAUAUCAACCUUCUCAUUGCUGAGUGGUUUGGAUGUGGGGGUUUGCUGGCCUCUUAAAUGAGUUCAGCUCUCCUGAAAUGCAUUAGCAGAACAACCCUGUUCAUUGGCGUGAUAACUAUCUACGCUAUUGAAUGUGAGGGACAGUUCAGCUUUCUAAUAGUCCUUGGACAACUCAUCAUUUAUGUGACCUCAAAUCAGGUAGGACUACCCGCUGAACUUAA